GAUCCCAGGUCAGGCGGGGCUA
rnacentral:rRNA from 1 species